GACGUAGGGCGCGAGCGUUGUCCGGAUUUAUUGGGCGUAAAGAGCUCGUAGGCGGCUUGUUGCGUCGACUGUGAAAACCCGCGGCUUAACCGCGGGCCUGCAGUUGAUACGGGCAGGCUAGAGUUCGGUAGGGGAGACUGGAAUUCCUGGUGUAGCGGUGAAAUGCGCAGAGAUCCGGAGGAACACCUGUGGCGAAGGCGGCCCCCUGGGCCGCACCUGACGCUGAGACGCGAAAGCGCGGGGAGCGAACGGG
rnacentral:rRNA from 1 species